UACGGAAGGCAGCAGGGGGAAUAUUGCACAAUGGGCGCAAGCCUGAUGCAGCCAUGCCGCGUGUAUGAAGAAGGCCUUCGGGUUGUAAAGUACUUUCAGUCGUGAGGAAGGUGUUAAGGUUAAUAACCUUAGCAAUUGACGUUGGCGACAGAAGAAGCACCGGCUAACUCCGUGCCAGCAGCCGCGGUAAUACGGAGGGUGCGAGCGUUAAUCGGAAUUACUGGGCGUAAAGGGCACGCAGGCGGUUAAUUAAGUUGGAUGUGAAAUCCCCGGGCUUAACCUGGGAAUGGCAUUCAAGACUGGUUAGCUAGAGUCUUGUAGAGGGGGUAGAAUUCCAUGUGUAGCGGUGAAAUGCGUAGAGAUGUGGAGGAAUACCGGUGGCGAAGGCGGCCCCUGGACAAAGACUGACGCUCAUGUGCGAAAGCGUGGGGAGCAAACAGGGAUUAGAUAC
rnacentral:rRNA from 1 species